rnacentral:rRNA from 1 species
AGCGAACGCUGGCGGCAGGCUUAACACAUGCAAGUCGAGCGCCGUAGCAAUACGGAGCGGCAGACGGGUGAGUAACACGUGGGAACGUACCUUUUGGUUCGGAACAACACAGGGAAACUUGUGCUAAUACCGGAUAAGCCCUUACGGGGAAAGAUUUAUCGCCGAAAGAUCGGCCCGCGUCUGAUUAGCUAGUUGGUGAGGUAACGGCUCACCAAGGCGACGAUCAGUAGCUGGUCUGAGAGGAUGAUCAGCCACACUGGGACUGAGACACGGCCCAGACUCCUACGGGAGGCAGCAGUGGGGAAUAUUGGACAAUGGGCGCAAGCCUGAUCCAGCCAUGCCGCGUGAGUGAUGAAGGCCCUAGGGUUGUAAAGCUCUUUUGUGCGGGAAGAUAAUGACUGUACCGCAAGAAUAAGCCCCGGCUAACUUCGUGCCAGCAGCCGCUGUAAG